GACGAACGCUGGCGGCGUGCUUAACACAUGCAAGUCGAACGGAAAGGCCCUGCUUGCAGGGUACUCGAGUGGCGAACGGGUGAGUAGCACGUGGGUGAUCUGCCCUGCACUUCGGGAUAAGCCUGGGAAACUGGGUCUAAUACCGGAUAUGACCUUCCAUGUAGUGUGGGGGGUGGAAAGAUUUAUCGGUGUGGGAUGAGCCCGCGGCCUAUCAGCUUGUUGGUGGGGUAAUGGCCUACCAAGGCGUCGACGGGUAGCCGGCCUGAGAGGGUGGACGGCCACAUUGGGACUGAGAUACGGCCCAGACUCCUACGGGAGGCGGCAGUGGGGAAUAUUGCACAAUGGGCGGAAGCCUGAUGCAGCGACGCCGCGUGGGGGAUGACGGCCUUCGGGUUGUAAACCUCUUUCGACAGGGACGAAGCUUCGGUGACGGUACCUGUAUAAGAAGCACCGGCUAACUACGUG
rnacentral:rRNA from 1 species